rnacentral:tRNA from 1 species
CUUCAAAGAGCUGUACUCUUAGCGUUAGUCUUUUAAACUAAAGAAAAUAUUCAAUUAUUUUUGAAGG